ensembl:rRNA 5S_rRNA 5S ribosomal RNA
CACUACAGCCAUGCCACCCUGAACGUGCCUGAUCUCGCCUGAUCUCAGAAGCUAAGCAGGGUCAGGCCUGGUUAUUACUUGGAUGGGAGACCACCUAGGAAUCCCAGGUGCAGUAGGUG